UACGUAGGGGGCAAGCGUUGUCCGGAUUUAUUGGGCGUAAAGCGCUCGCAGGCGGCUCGAUGCGUCGUGCGUGAAAGACCCCGGCUCAACUGGGGAGGGUCGUGCGAUACGGUCGAGCUCGAGGCCAGUAGGGGGACGCGGAAUUCCGGGUGUAGUGGUGGAAUGCGUAGAGAUCCGGAAGAACACCGGUGGCGACGGCGGCCUGCUGGGCAGUAGCUGACACUGAGGCGCGACAGCGUGGGGAGCAAACAGG
rnacentral:rRNA from 1 species